rnacentral:rRNA from 1 species
GAUGAACGCUGGCGGCGUGCCUAAUACAUGCAAGUCGAGCGAACUGAUUAGAAGCUUGCUUCUAUGACGUUAGCGGCGGACGGGUGAGUAACACGUGGGCAACCUGCCUGUAAGACUGGGAUAACUUCGGGAAACCGAAGCUAAUACCGGAUAGGAUCUUCUCCUUCAUGGGAGAUGAUUGAAAGAUGGUUUCGGCUAUCACUUACAGAUGGGCCCGCGGUGCAUUAGCUAGUUGGUGAGGUAACGGCACACCAAGGCAGCGAUGCAUAGCCGACCUGAGGGGGUGAUCGGCCACACUGGGACUGAGACACGGCCCAGACUCCUACGGGAGGCAGCAGUAAGGAAUCUUCCGCAAGGGACGAAAGUCUGACGGAGCAACGCCGCGUGAGUGAUGAAGGCUUUCGGGUCGUAAAACUCUGUUGUUAGGGAAGAACAAGUACAAGAGUAACUGCUUGUACCUUGACGGUACCUAACCAGAAAGCCACGGCUAACUACGUGCCAGCAGCCGCCGUAACAC